UACGGAGGGUGCAAGCGUUGCUCGGAAUUAUUGGGCGUAAAGGGCAGGUAGGUGGUCUCAUUUGUCUGAGGUGAAAGCCUUGGGCUUAACCCGAGAAGGGCCUCAGAAACGGUGAGACUAGAGUCUUGGAGAGGGUCGUGGAAUUCCCGGUGUAGCGGUGAAAUGCGUAGAGAUCGGGAGGAACACCAGAGGCGAAGGCGGCGACCUGGACAAGUACUGACACUCAACUGCGAAAGCGUGGGGAGCAAACAGG
rnacentral:rRNA from 1 species